rnacentral:rRNA from 1 species
UACGUAGGGGGCUAGCGUUGUCCGGAAUCAUUGGGCGUAAAGCGCGCGUAGGCGGCCCGGUAAGUCCGUUGUGAAAGUCAAAGGCUCAACCUUUGAAAGCCGAUGGAUACUGCCAUGACUUGAGUCCGGUAGGGGAGUGUGGAAUUCCCGGUGUAGCGGUGAAAUGCGCAGAUAUCGGGAGGAACACCCGUAGCGAAGGCGGCACUCUGGGCCGGUACUGACGCUGAGGAGCGAAAGCGUGGGGAGCAAACAGG